GAUGCUCUUAUAACUAAAGUGGCCAUUCUACAGGAAGAGUUUAUUUUAAUAAUGACAUCUUUGUUCCAGUGAUAAUAGACAAUAACAGAGAGUGACAAUUCCUCAAGGGGAGAAGGGAUUAUUCACUGUCCUGCCAAAAGGUCUUAAAUGGAACCAGGGUUUGGGUAAAUACUUUUUAUCUAAAUGAGGUCCAUUGUCCUGGACCUUAGGGAAAGAAAGGACAAGAGAAAAAAGAAAAAGGAAGAGUUUGGUUUCAGUUUAAACCAGCUCCCCUUCAGCUGCAUUUUACCCUUUUUACACACCACUUUAAGAAGAUGCCUACUCUCUGGAAUUCUCCUCAUCUGUCAAUAGACUAACCCACUGACACCCUGGAGAGAAUCCAGAGCAGGCUGUCUCUUCCUCACCCUCAGGCAUUUCCCAGCACAAAGAGGAAUUUACCCCAAAACGGGGACAGGAUUUGCCCAGAUGCAAGCCUUACAAGAAGAAAAAAAGAAGAGAGAGGCAAGAGAAGGGAGUGAGGUUCUGAAAUACCCAACACGAAUGGAAGUUGGGAAAAAGAGAGCCUGUCACAAAAGUACUCACAAACACAAAUUAAUCUGACUGACAGAGCAUAACAUUUAAAAUAACUUGGUGGGGAAAUGCAUAUGUUUAUUCAUAAAUAAAAAGGGAAAUGAGACAGAG